CAGCAAUUAUACAAGGCAGGAGGCACAGGUGUGUGUUUGAGCAGUUUUCAGUGGAAGAAAUUGGAAAAACUCUCAUGGAAUAAACUGAGAUUGAACUGCGGACCUAUGUUCCUGUCCUCCAGCUCCUGUUUGCUGGGCCUGUUUCGUAGUUUGACAGCAAGCAACUCCUUCCUUAGCCUGCGAGGAAGUGUGCCUGAAAACACACACAAGGAGUUUACAGGAUAGGAGUCGUGACUGGGAAUUCUCUGGGGGCCUAAACAAACUACUGUGUAUUUAACUUGCUGGCAACAGCAAUGAGGAUUUAAGGCAGCUCUAUAACAUCCCCUGAUGCGUUGACACUGAGUGUUUUGAGGGAUUGUCCUACCAGGUGGGGGCAGCUCUUCAUCAGGACCGAGGGCUUGAAGAUGCGCCCCAGGGUAGCCAGCUUGCUGUUACGUCGGAUGGGUGGAGUGUGUACCCCGGUCACCAAGCAGCCUGUCCUCAGCACCCUCUGCUGGUCGACUAAAUCUACUACAGGGACAGAGGAGUUGGAAAAAGAGGCCCAGAGGAGGGCCGAGAGAUUCAACAGGAGGAUGAAAAUGGGUAAGGAUAGAGAGGGAGAGAGAGGGAACAGCAUAGUAGAAGUGUGUUGCAGUGCAGAGGGACAGAUUGAAGACAUGCAGGGAUGAAUAAAAAUGUGAAAAGUGGGUGAGAGGAGACAGAGAAACAAGGAGAAAGAGAAACCAGAGCACAAUUAGUAUGCUCACCUUACUGAAUAAACCAUGAUGGACUCCAAGUGCUGUGAACAGAUUGAAUUAGAGAGACUAAUUUGAUCACAGCACACUCCCUCAUGGCUGUGAGCCCCCUCCCACAGAGCCAUACGUCAUGUUUCAAAAUAAAUAACAAACUCACAGGCUGAAUUUGACAGGAACAGAACGGCACACAGUCACAGACAGCCUCACAAGACUACAAAAAGAUCCAUUUCCCCAGAGACCAACAGGUGUGCCAGCAGCACUGCUUUCCCAGAAGCAGCAUUAGACUCAGUUACCUGGUAGAAAAAAAACGGGCUGAUUGUUUUUCAUUGUGUCAACCCUCUUUUUUUCCUGGUACACUGCUCUUCUUCCAAAAUGAACUGUAGUGAUGUUCUAUUUCUCACAGGACAGAUGUCUCCCAAAGUAAUCAGUGUUUAAAAAGAGGUGAAAAGACAUACCAUAAUCCUACAAAACAGGCAGAAAACAAGGGCUGCAUGCAGUGUGUUUUCAUCAUUCCAUCCUAUGAGACAUGUUUUGGGUGCCUGCACGUCUUGUGUUGCAUAUGACUGAACCACAUGUUUGUAUUAUAGUCUGAACACAGAUAAUUAAUGUGUUUUUCCUUUCAAAGAAUAGCUCUUUCCUCCAAGAUAGCACCUGCUAAUUGCCUAGGGAAAUAAAUAAAGGAGUAAGCAGCAACUGAUGAGCACAGUUUAUAAAAUUGAACCAAAAUAAUAUAUAAGCCGUUCCUGCGUGCGCAGAGACCCUUUUUUUGGCUCAAGAUGAAACUUCUAUUCCAUUGAAUGAUGGUUGUGACUCAUAUCAGGAAAAGUGUGGGUCCACAGAUCUGUACAUUCACAUUGCUGCUUGUUUGCCUGCAUCCAGUCGCUAAGAGUGCCAAGAAAGAGGAAAUGUACAAUAAAUGCAUUUAUUUAAGUG